rnacentral:rRNA from 1 species
GGGAAUCUUGCACAAUGGGGGAAACCCUGAUGCAGCGACGCCGCGUGAACGAUGAAGCCCUUCGGGGUGUAAAGUUCUUUCGACAGGAACGAUAAUGACGGUACCUGGAGAAGAAGCUGCGGCUAACUACGUGCCAGCAGCCGCGGUAAUACGUAGGCAGCGAGCGUUGUUCGGAGUUACUGGGCGUAAAGAGUGCGUAGGCGGCGAGCCAAGUUUGGUGUGAAAUCUCCCGGCUUAACCGGGAGGGUGCGCCGAAAACUGGUUGGCUGGAGUAUGGGAGAGGAAAGCGGAAUUCCUGGCGUAGCGGUGAAAUGCGUAGAUAUCAGGAGGAACACCUGCGGUGUAGACAGCUUUCUGGACCAAAACUGACGCUGAGGCACGAAAGCGUGGGUAGCAAACA